UACGUAGGUGGCAAGCGUUGUCCGGAUUUAUUGGGCGUAAAGCGAGCGCAGGCGGUUUUUUAAGUCUGAUGUGAAAGCCUUCGGCUCAACCGAAGAAGUGCAUUCGAAACUGGGAAACUUGAGUGAAGAAGAGGACAGUGGAACUCCAUGUGUAGCGGUGAAAUGCGUAGAUAUAUGGAGGAACACCAGUGGCGAAGGCGGCUGUCUGGUCUGUAACUGACGCUGAGGCUCGAAAGGAUGGGUAGCAAAA
rnacentral:rRNA from 1 species